AUUCAAUCUUUUCGUUUUCGACUGCUUUUGGAUUUUAGAUUUUAGCGAACGUGGAGAAUUCUUGUUCACAGAGAGAGGGACAUGCUCACCCAUUUCUUUGUUAAGAAAAUAAUUUUAAAAUAUUAGCAAAUAUACGACAAGUUUGGUUCAACGAUUUGCACAACUGCAAAAUGUCUUGAUAAGAACUGUACAUGGAAUGCUUAUAAGUUAUGGUAACCAUGCAAAAUCAGAUUCGUGGUCCAUAAAUAUUCUAGACUGAUGUCUAAAAUAUUGUAAAAUUUGUCUAGACUUUUUUUAAAUAAAAGAAAAAGAAAAUAAUAAGUUUCAAAAAAUAAUAAUAAUAAUAAUAAUCAUAGUAAUUAACAAUAAUACCUCCUG
rnacentral:lncRNA from 1 species